rnacentral:rRNA from 1 species
AGAGUUUGAUCCUGGCUCAGAACGAACGCUGGCGGCGCGUCUUAAGCAUACAAGUCGAACGAAUGGCCACCCUCGGGUGGUCGGAAGUGGCGGACGGGUGAGUAACACGUGGGUAAUCUGCCCUCCGGUGGGGAAUAGCACAUGGAAACAUGUGAUAAUACCGCAUGAUACGGGCCUGCACAUGCAGGUUCGGGAAAGCUCCUGCGGGAGCGCCGGGGGAUGAGCCUGCGGCCCAUUAGCUAGUUGGCGGGGUAAAGGCCCACCAAGGCGACGAUGGGUAGCCGGACUGAGAGGUUGAACGGCCACAUUGGGAUUGAGAACGGCCCAGACUCCUACGGGAGGCAGCAGCUAAGAAUCUUCCACAAUGGACGGAAGUCUGAUGGAGCGACGCCGCGUGGACGAUGAAGGCCGUGAGGUUGUAAAGUCCUUUUCGGGAGGUGGAAUAACCCGGGGAGGGAAUGCCCCGGGGAUGACGUGAAUCCCGGAAUAAGCCCCGGCUAACUACGUGCCAGCAGCCGCGGUAAUACGUAGGGGGCGAGCGUUGUUCGGAAUCAUUGGGCGUAAAGGGUGCGCAGGUGGCCCGUCAAGUCUGGCGUUAAAGUGCGGGGCUCAACUCCGUGAUGCGCUGGAAACUGGCGGGCUUGAGUACAGCA